rnacentral:rRNA from 1 species
CUUACCAUGCAGUCGAACGGCAGCACGGGAGCAAUCCUGGUGGCGAGUGGCGAACGGGUGAGUAAUACAUCGGAACGUGUCCUGGAGUGGGGGAUAGCCCGGCGAAAGCCGGAUUAAUACCGCAUACGCUCUGAGGAGGAAAGGGGGGGAUCUUAGGACCUCUCGCUCAAGGGGCGGCCGAUGGCAGAUUAGCUAGUUGGUGGGGUAAAGGCCUACCAAGGCGACGAUCUGUAGCUGGUCUGAGAGGACGACCAGCCACACUGGGACUGAGACACGGCCCAGACUCCUACGGGAGGCAGCAGUGGGGAAUUUUGGACAAUGGGCGCAAGCCUGAUCCAGCAAUGCCGCGUGUGUGAAGAAGGCCUUCGGGUUGUAAAGCACUUUUGUCCGGAAAGAAAACACGCCUGUUAAUACCGGGUGUGGAUGACGGUACCGGAAGAAUAAGCACCGGCUAACUACGUGCCAGCAGCCGCGGUAAUACGUAGGGUGCAAGCGUUAAUCGGAAUUACUGGGCGUAAAGCGUGCGCAGGCGGUUCGUUAAGACAGAUGUGAAAUCCCCGGGCUUAACCUGGGAACUGCAUUUGUGACUGGCGGACUCGAGUAUGGCAGAGGGGGGUAGAAUUCCACGUGUAGCAGUGAAAUGCGUAGAGAUGUGGAGGAAUACCGAUGGCGAAGGCAGCCCCCUGGGCCAAUACUGACGCUCAUGCACGAAAGCGUGGGGAGCAAACAGGAUUAGAUACCCUGGUAGUCCACGCCCUAAACGAUGUCAACUGGUUGUCGGGUCUUCAUUGACUUGGUAACGAAGCUAACGCGUGAAGUUGACCGCCUGGGGAGUACGGUCGCAAGAUUAAAACUCAGAGAA